rfam:Apaloderma vittatum contig61210, whole genome shotgun sequence.
UAGCUCAGUCAGUUGAGCGUGGUGCUAACAAUGCCAAGGUCACGGGUUUGAUUCCCGU